rnacentral:misc_RNA from 1 species
AAAGUCGUAACAAGGUCUCCGUAGGUGAACCUGCGGAGGGAUCAUUACACAAAUAUGAAGCCGGACUGGGAUAGGGCCUCGCUGCCUUGCCCGUCUGGCGCCAUAUUCACCCAUGUCUUUUUGCGUACUACUUGUUUCCUUGGCGGGUCCGCCCGCCAAUUGGACCUUAUUCAAACCUUUUUUUUAGUUGCAAUCAGCGUCAGCAAAACAAAUGUAAUCAAUUACAACUUUCAACAACGGAUCUCUUGGUUCUG